rnacentral:rRNA from 1 species
GGAUAACACUUAGAAAUAGGUGCUAAUACCGCAUAAGCGCACGGUUCCGCAUGGAACAGUGUGAAAAACUCCGGUGGUAUACGAUGGAUCCGCGUCUGAUUAGCCAGUUGGCGGGGUAACGGCCCACCAAAGCGACGAUCAGUAGCCGGCCUGAGAGGGUGAACGGCCACAUUGGGACUGAGACACGGCCCAAACUCCUACGGGAGGCAGCAGUGGGGAAUAUUGCACAAUGGGGGAAACCCUGAUGCAGCGACGCCGCGUGAGUGAAGAAGUAUCUCGGUACGUAAAGCUCUAUCAGCAGGGAAGAAAAUGACGGUACCUGACUAAGAAGCCCCGGCUAACUACGUGCCAGCAGCCGCGGUAAUACGUAGGGGGCAAGCGUUAUCCGGAUUUACUGGGUGUAAAGGGAGCGUAGACGGCAGCGCAAGUCUGGAGUGAAAUGCCGGGGCCCAACCCCGGAACUGCUUUGGAAACUGUGCAGCUCGAGUGCAGGAGAGGUAAGCGGAAUUCCUAGUGUAGCGGUGAAAUGCGUAGAUAUUAGGAGGAACACCAGUGGCGAAGGCGGCUUACUGGACUGUAACUGACGUUGAGGCUCGAAAGCGUGGGGAGCAAACAGGAUUAGAUACCCUGGUAGUCCACGCCGUAAACGAUGAUUACUAGGUGUCGGGGGGCCAAGGCCCUCCGGUGCCGCCG